AUUGAACGCUGGCGGUAGGCCUAACACAUGCAAGUCGAGCGGAUGAAGGGAGCUUGCUCCUGGAUUCAGCGGCGGACGGGUGAGUAAUGCCUAGGAAUCUGCCUGGUAGUGGGGGAUAACGUCCGGAAACGGGCGCUAAUACCGCAUACGUCCUGAGGGAGAAAGUGGGGGAUCUUCGGACCUCACGCUAUCAGAUGAGCCUAGGUCGGAUUAGCUAGUUGGUGGGGUAAAGGCCUACAAAGGCGACGAUCCGUAACUGGUCUGAGAGGAUGAUCAGUCACACUGGAACUGAGACACGGUCCAGACUCCUACGGGAGGCAGCAGUGGGGAAUAUUGGACAAUGGGCGAAAGCCUGAUCCAGCCAUGCCGCGUGUGUGAAGAAGGUCUUCGGAUUGUAAAGCACUUUAAGUUGGGAGGAAGGGCAGUAAGUUAAUACCUUGCUGUUUUGACGUUACCAACAGAACAAGCACCGGCUAACUUCGUG
rnacentral:rRNA from 1 species